rnacentral:rRNA from 1 species
CUUACCAUGCAGUCGACGGCAGCACGGGAGCAAUCCUGGUGGCGAGUGGCGAACGGGUGAGUAAUACAUCGGAACGUGUCCUGGAGUGGGGGAUAGCCCGGCGAAAGCCGGAUUAAUACCGCAUACGCUCUGAGGAGGAAAGGGGGGGAUCUUAGGACCUCUCGCUCAAGGGGCGGCCGAUGGCAGAUUAGCUAGUUGGUGGGGUAAAGGCCUACCAAGGCGACGAUCUGUAGCUGGUCUGAGAGGACGACCAGCCACACUGGGACUGAGACACGGCCCAGACUCCUACGGGAGGCAGCAGUGGGGAAUUUUGGACAAUGGGCGCAAGCCUGAUCCAGCAAUGCCGCGUGUGUGAAGAAGGCCUUCGGGUUGUAAAGCACUUUUGUCCGGAAAGAAAACACGCCUGUUAAUACCGGGUGUGGAUGACGGUACCGGAAGAAUAAGCACCGGCUAACUACGUGCCAGCAGCCGCGGUAAUACGUAGGGUGCAAGCGUUAAUCGGAAUUACUGGGCGUAAAGCGUGCGCAGGCGGUUCGUUAAGACAGAUGUGAAAUCCCCGGGCUUAACCUGGGAACUGCAUUUGUGACUGGCGGACUCGAGUAUGGCAGAGGGGGGUAGAAUUCCACGUGUAGCAGUGAAAUGCGUAGAGAUGUGGAGGAAUACCGAUGGCGAAGGCAGCCCCCUGGGCCAAUACUGACGCUCAUGCACGAAAGCGUGGGGAGCAAACAGGAUUAGAUACCCUGGUAGUCCACGCCCUAAACGAUGUCAACUGGUUGUCGGGUCUUCAUUGACUUGGUAACGAAGCUAACGCGUGAAGUUGACCGCCUGGGGAGUACGGUCGCAAGAUUAAAUA